UACGAAGGGGGCGAGCGUUUGUCGGCGUUACUGGGCGUAAAGGGCGUGUAGGCGGCUUACUAAGUCGGGCGUGAGAGCCCGGGGCGUAACCCCGGAACUGCGUUCGAGACUGGUUUGCUUGAGACCGGGAGAGGUGCGUGGAAUUCCCAGUGGAGAGGUGAAAUUCGUAGAGAUUGGGAAGAGCACCGGUGGCGAAGGCGGCGCACUGGACCGGAUCUGACGCUGAGGCGCGAAAGCGUGGGGAGCAAACAGG
rnacentral:rRNA from 1 species